rnacentral:lncRNA from 1 species
AUGGAGACUAUCUCCCUAUAACACACGUUGGCUCCAUUGCUCUGCCAACUCCAACAGGUAAGCUACCUCUUACUGAUGUAUUGGUUUGUCCUGAGAUAACUAAAUCUCUUCUUUCUGUGUCAAAGCUCACCGAUGAUUAUCCCUGCUCAUUCACCUUUGACUCUACAUCUGUGUGCAUUAAGGACAAAGCAACACACCAGCUUCUCAGUCAGGGAAGCAAAACUAAGGGCUUGUAUCGGUUAGAGAAUCCCCAACCUUUGGUGUUCUACUCUUCAAGACAGCAACAAGCGAGUGAUACAGUAUGGCACAAGAGGCUUGGGCAUCCUCAUCAUCAAGUUCUGAAGCAUCUAUCUUCUAUUAAUGCUAUUGCUUUUAAUAAGACAACUUUGCCAAUGUGUGAGUCAUGUCAGUUGGGGAAAACAUGCAAACUUCCCUUUAGUAGAUCGGAUUUUCAAUCAAGUAGACCUCUUGAGAGGAUUCACUGUGAUGUAUGGGGUCCAGCUCCAGUUGUAUCAGUCCAAGGGUUCAGAUAUUAUAUUGUGUUUGUUGACAAUUUUUCAAGAUUCUGUUGGUUUUAUCCACUUAAAGUGAAAUCUGAUGCCUUUCAUGUCUUCAAAACAUUUCAACAAUUGGUCCAAACUCAAUACAAUCAGAAAAUCUGUAUUUUCCAGAGUGAUGGUGGUGGUGAGUUCAUCAACAAACAGUUUCUAGACCACUUUGCAACUUGUGGGAUUAAGCACUACAUCUCUUGUCCACAUACACCUCAGCAAAAUGGUCUAGCUGAGAGAAAGCAUAGACACAUUGUUGAGCUGGGUCUGUCUAUGCUCUUCCACAGCCAAGUUCCACAACAACUGUGGGUUGAAGCCCUGUUCACUGCCAACUUCCUCAUCAACCUGCUUCCUUCCUCUGUUCACAACAAGCUGGUCAGUCCUUUUGAAGUUCUUAAUGGAGAUAGACCUGUCUACACUGCUCUGAGAGUAUUCGGGUGUGCUUGUUACCCAUACUUGAAGCCUUAUACACAGAACAAAUUCGAUCCCAAGUCACUUCUCUGCGUAUUUGUGGGUUAUAGUGAAAGGUACAAAGGCUAUCGAUGCUUUCAUCCACCAACUGGAAGAGUAUAUAUCAGCAGACAUGUGUUAUUCAAUGAGUCUCAGUUUCCCUUCGCAGAAGGAUAUAAGAGCUUUGCCAAGCUUGCAACGACUCCUCUAAUGAACGCUUGGUACUCAGGUCAACCGACUGCAGAGACCUCUACUCAGUCUCAGUCUAGUCAGCCCACACCAGAAGAGAUCACCUGUGUUAAAAUUGGUACAGUCUCUGUUCCUGUACCAUCAAGCCGACAAAGAUCACCAUCUCUGUCUCCUCCAACUAAUGUUCAACGGUCACCAAGUCCUCAAGCUUCUUCUCAUACCUCAUCCCCAACAACUGAUAUGGUCGAAGAAAUGGAGCCUUUUGACAGUCAAGAAGAGAUAACUCCAACUGAUUCAUCCACAAAUGUUCAUCCAAUGGUGACCAGAGGCAAAGCUGGGGUCAGUAAGCCUAAUCCACGAUAUAUUCUAUUUGCUACAAAGGGUAUUCCUUCAGAACCCAAAACCGUAGCUGAGGCUGUAGCUCAUCCAGGCUGGAAUGCAGCAUGUGAAGAAGAAAUUGGCACAUGUCAUGAUACAAAUACCUGGGAUCUCGUUCCAAGACCCCCCAACACCAAUCUCCUUGGGUGCAAAUGGGUCUUUAGAACAAAGCUGAAUUCAGAUGGCUCCUUGGACAAGUUAAGGGCCAGACUUGUAGCAAAAGGAUUUGAACAAGAAGAAGGUGUGGACUUUCUAGAGACAUACAGCCCUGUAGUUCGGACAGCAACAGUUAGAAUGGUGUUGCACCUUGCUGUUAUUGAAAGAUGGGAUAUUAAGCAGCUAGAUGUAAAGAAUGCUUUUUUACAUGGAGAUCUUCUUGAGAGCGUGUUCAUGAAACAACCUCCAGGGUUUGAAGAUAAAGUUCACCCUGAUUAUGUCUGCAAAUUGAACAAGGCUAUCUAUGGAUUGAAACAAGCUCCUAGAGCCUGGUUUGACAAAUUCAGCUCAUACCUCAUUUCUUAUGGAUUUCAGUGCAGUCCGAGAGAUCCUUCACUGUUCGUGUAUAUGGAUGGCAAAAGCAUUCUUUUCCUUCUGCUGUAUGUUGAUGAUAUGGUAAUUACAGGGAAUGAUCAGUCUUUGGUUGACAAACUCCUCACUUCUCUUGGCGAAAAGUUUAGAAUGAAGGACAUGGGACCCCUCAGCUACUUCCUUGGAAUACAGGCUCAUUUCACUCCCACUGGUCUCUUUUUGAACCAAGAGAAAUAUGCUCAAGAUCUCCUUCAUAUUGCAGGUAUGGCAGAAUGUUCUCCCAUGCCCACGCCUCUACCCCUGCAGUUGAACCAAGUACCACAUGGAUUGCUUCUCUGCUAACUGAUAUUGGGUUCCCUCAGUCUCUUCCCGCUGAAGUUUAUUGUGACAAUCUUUCUGCAGUCCAGUUAACGGCUAAUCCAGUUCUUCAUCCUCGGUCCAAACAUUUUGAAACUCACUAUCACUUUGCUCGGGAGAAAGUAGCUCUCGGUACUCUGCUGGUUCAACACAUUCCUGCUUCUCAACAGAUUGCUGAUAUAUUCACUAAGUCCCUGCCACAUGAAAGCUUUGUGUCGUUAAGGUUCAAACUUGGAGUGCUCGAUCCUCCCACUACGAGUUUGCAGGGGGGUAUAAACAAUGUUAAGGCCCAACACAAUGUUAAGGCCCAACCGAAACCCAACAACUCUGCAAACAAGACAAAACUUGUCGCAGCAACGGUCAAGAACAGAGGGAACAGUACGAACACAGAAAACAGGUUUUCUGUGCUUGAAGAUAAAGACGGUGAGCUGUAAAUUGCCACCUGUCUAUGAGUCUAGAAUCAUCUAAGCCUUGUAUAAAAGCUCACUCUUUGUAAACGUUUUGGAGUUAGUUAAUGAGAAUGCAAUUUCAGUAAACCUAAAAUACUUUUUGCUCUGCUUCAUUUUCUUGUUACUCACACACUGAUCUUCACGCUUAUAAUUAUGGUUUGAUCCCGCGGUAAUUAAUUAUCAAACGUUUUUUCCCUUUUUUUCUCACAUCUAGUUUAUCAUUAAAUAGUAAACGGAUAAUAUAAUUUGAUCGUUUGCCAUUUCGGCGGAACUAUCUACUAGUACGUAGCUAACAUACAUUAAAUUAACUUCUUAGUAUGGCCAGCCAGUAAACGACCUUGAAAAAGUUUCAAAAAUCCACCAUCAAAUAUCAUAAAAGAACAUUAAUUAUUUUAUUACCAAUUAAUUAGUAUAGUAUUUUCUCCGUUUUUUUUUUGGGUCAACUUACGACUGAUUAGCAACUAAAUUUCGUCAAAAUUUUUCACGAAAUGAACGAUAAUGAAACGAACAUAAAUUUUUCGUUGGAGUUUAACACUGAGAUAACAAUAUAAAAACAUUUAAAACGAUUUAUUGUCCACCGCUAUCAACAAUAAAACCAAUAUUAUCUCAUAUACUCCCAUGACUGCUAUACACGUGCUAUUUUCCAUUGCACAAAUUUGGGCAAGUGCUUCAUAUAUCCUUCUUUUUCUUGGUUUCCCAGUAAAUAGUGAUUAUUACUCUAUAAUUUGAAGAAUCAAUAAGGUUGGAAUAAAAAAACUUCAAAGUCAAAUAGUUAAUAACCACAACUCGAAACUUGUCUUCAAUCUGCAGUAUAUAUGAAGAAGGCACAUGCUUUAUCCGCGUAAAUCGAACAACUAGUGCUAGUGGGUUUUGGUUAAUAAGAAGAAUAUUAGUAUUUUUUUUUGUUAAAGUUAAACGAAAAUUAGUUGACUGAUUAAAAUAUACACUUUGUCAACAUUAUCUUAAUUAUAUAUGUCCCUUGGAGCUUGACAUUAUAAAAGUCGUUUCAAUCCUCUUGAGUUACGCAAAAGGUCCAACUCCAUUGGCAUUGCUGCCAUUGCAUGGGUUUCUUUCACGCGUUGUAUUUUCACAUAAGCAAACGUCGUCGUACAAACUUGAUAAUUGAGACACGGUUUAAUUUCCUUCCAUGAGUUUCAUUUCAUUUUACAUUUAUCCUAACAUUAAAAUUUAUAAACUUUUUGUUUCCUUGAUCUAAAUUUUGUUUUCAUUUUUAAUUACAGCUGGUCAACAAGUAUUUAACGCAGUGGAAGAUAAAUUUACGAUUAAUCUGGGGUUUCUCACAUGAAACAUAUUAAUGGAAUUUAAAUAAAUAAUUUGGAGACUAAAAUUAGUAUCGAAAUAUUAUUAAUUAUCAAAAUUUGUGAAGAUAUAUAUCAUGAAUACAAUCUCACGUUAUUCCCCUUAUUGCUUACUUGCUGUUCUGUGAGAUAAAUUUAACUUAAAUCAAAGUUAGCAGACAUUAUUGUUUCAUUGUUUGCCAUCAAUUAAACUAGGUCUCUUAACUCAUAUUGUGAACGAAGUUACGGUCAAAUAAAUGUGUAGGUUUUGACUUUAAGAGAGAGAGAUCUUUUUUUUUGACAGCUCUUUAAGAGAGAUAUCAAGAUAUCAAUAUCUGUCGACAUGAGAAAAAGAUAUCAAUAUCCAUAACAAUGUAAUUUUAAGGGAUUCUUUUCAUGUGUCACUGUAUACAAACAUAUAUAUAUAUAUAUAUAUAUAUCCAAUUACAAACAUAUAUAAUAUAUCCAAUUACGUAUCUCUUGGCUGUCCUCUCUUAAUUGAAAAAACAAAUUAAAAUAUUACACCCAGCCUAAUUAAUGCAGCAAGAUUGAGCUAAUUGAUCAAUAAUUGGAUUUCAUACAACUAAAUAUAUGAACUAAUAAAUAGACACUCUCUUUUUUUUUUUUUUGCAACAAAAGAAAUAUAGAGUUAUGAUCCAAAAUAUGUGUCUCUUAAUUUAAUUUGUUCAUUUUAUUUACUCUCACAUGCAUGAAAACUAUCCACUAUACAAUUUCAAAACGCAUUUUAUUUGCAAUAAUCUAUAGUCUACCAAAAUUUAUAAUGUCAAGAACUUGACUUUUUCAUUAUGAGUAACGUGCUUUUUUACCAACAUGUUAUAUCUAUAUUCGAUUUUUUUUUCUUGAAAUGCCUAACAUUGGUUGACAAUUUUAAAUUACGAACACCAGUUACACCAUCCUGAUUAUACUAAUUCAAAUUGGUAACAGAAGUUGGUCAAAAUUUGACUUUUCAAGUAAAUAUUAUAAAACCAAAAAAAAAAAAGAGAAAAAUUCAUCAAUUCAACUUCAACACCCAUUUAUAAAUUAUCAAUGAUGGAUUUUAAUUACUCCUUAACUACGGUGAAUAUUUGUCUAUUUUUUAGUCAGAGAUAGAUCUAUACGUGUGAAUAUUAUAACAAUAUGGUAUAUAUGUUUGAAUUUUGUGGCACCGUCAUAAUUAUAGAUAUACACACACAUUAUUAUUAAUGACUUGAACUUGUACGUAUUCAAAUUCAACGUUCUCGAGAACCCUAUAAAUAAUCCAAGACAAUUAACACAUUUUCUCAAACCAAACACACAAUUAAACAAAAGAUGUCUCAAAUACUCAUGUUAUUGGUCACCAUUAGCAUCCUCUCUCUAUCGUCAUCUCCUUCUCUCGCCGCCGAAUUUCAGGGCACCGGAAAUGCCAUGUCGCGGUCAAAUGUAUGUCGAUUCGCGCCGGAUCCAUCGUAUUGUAGAUCGGUUCUACCAAACCAGCCUGGAGAUAUAUACUCCUACGGCCGCUUCUCACUCCGACGGUCCCUCUCACGUGCCACCCGGUUCAUGUCGCUGAUUGACGAUCAACUAAACCGGAAAGGCAAAGUGGCUGCGAAAGCCACAUUAGGGGCACUCGAAGACUGCAAAUUCCUCGCUAGCCAGACCAUCGACUUCCUCCUUAGUAGCUCAAGGACUGUCGAUGCCACCAAAACGCUGUCGUUUUCAAGGGCAGAGGAUGUUCAGACUUUUCUAAGUGCUGCGAUCACCAACGAACAGACUUGUCUUGAAGGACUUAAAUCCACGGCUUCGGAAAAUGGUCUCUCCGGUGAUCUUUUCAACGAUACCAAACUCUAUGGGGUCUCUCUUGCCCUUUUUUCCAAAGGUAUAUAAUAAUAAUAAUAAUAAUAAAGAUUAAUAAUAAUCAUGCACGUAAUCGACUAAUUAAUCCCCAUUCUUUAUUUUUCGUUCUAAUAUGCACGUCUUCUAUAAUGUGGCACGAAAUCUGCAUUUAAUUAGCGCUUUAUUAAUUUCUACAGUUCUUGCUUUCGUGAAUAACGGUUUUCGUUAGAAAAACAACGCUGAUGUUUGAAAGAUUUAUCAUGGAGUUGGUUAAAAAUAAUAGUUAAAUUACAAGAAUAUUCGGUUCUUUUUAUACAACCUACAAAUAUCACCAUUUCUUUAUUAUCCAAAAAAAAGAUUAAAAUAAUAAAGAUUUUAGCUAUUAGGGAUUUUUGAAACCCAUAUAUAUAUAUAUAUAUAUAUAUAUAAACUCUACGUAAUAUACGAAAUUAAAAACAGGUAAUAAAUUUUGACUUCAAUUGUAGGUUGGGUGCCAAGAAGGAAAAGAUCGAGACCGGUUUGGCAACCAAAAGGCAGCUUCAAAAAGUUUCUCGGAUUCCGUAACGGUAGAUUACCGUUAAAUAUGACGGGAAGGGCACGUGCCGUUUACAACAGCGUGACUACUGGGCCUGGGAGAAAGCUUCUCCAAGCUGAAGCAGACGCCGUUCUGGUGAGCGACAUUGUGACGGUGAACCAGGACGGGACGGGAAACUUCACGACCAUAAACGCAGCCGUUGCAGCCGCGCCUAAUAAAACAGACGGUACUAACGGUUAUUUCUUGAUCUACGUAACGGCGGGAUUGUACGAGGAAUACGUGGAGAUUCCCAAGUACAAGAGGUAUGUGAUGAUGAUCGGUGAUGGCAUUAACCAAACCGUUAUCACCGGCAACCGGAGCGUCGUUGAUGGCUGGACCACUUUCAAUUCCGCCACAUUUAGUAAGUACUUCAUAUACAUAUACCGAUAUACGUAUAUCUCACAAUACAUAGAGCAAAACCAGUUUUUUUAUAUUGAAAUUAUCUAUCUUCUUCUUCUCUUUUUCUAAUUCUCCUCUAAUUAGUCAUGGUCUAUAUAUUAUAUUAGUUUAAUUAUAUAAAAAACAUAAAUAAUACGCGGUUUAAAACUGAAUGAAUAUAAAAUUUAGCAUCCCAGUCUCGUCAGUCGUCACCACAUAAUAAAAAAUUAUAUAGAAAAUAUGAAGUCAUGUGCACAAUAUAAUUACAAAAAAAAACAUGGCUGCUUCGUGCAAGUGCGAUGUAACUUUUCCUUCUUUUUUUUAGAAACCUUGGUUUUUUUUUUUUGUAACAAGGGUGAGAAACCUUGGUCCAAAAAAUAUAAAAAAUAAUAAUACUCAUGCAAUCGAAGACGAGUUGGUCCACUAUAUAACUUGGCUAUUAAUAUAGACUUUUUCCAUGCAAUCGAGGGCGAUUUUGUCGAAUGGUCCACCGAAAGUCUUUUAAACUCCACGUCCAUUCCUCGUGUCAUCAACUAACCUAAUACCACAGUCCAUUAAACUAAAAUAUUUCUCAAAUUUGUUUGUUUCCUAAUGUUUUGUUUUAUAUUUUUUCUCUCUAACGAACCAGUUAAAAUUAUCGCUAUACAGUAUUUUUAAUCAACUAAUUAAGUCAACAAUAUUUGUUUUUGUUGCGAAAAUGGCAGUUCUAUCAGGAACAAACUUUAUUGGAGUGAACAUAACAAUCCGCAACACGGCAGGGCCGACAAAGGGUCAAGCCGUCGCAUUGAGGAGCGGUGGAGACUUCUCUGUCUUCUAUAGUUGCAGUUUUGAAGCGUAUCAAGACACUUUAUACACGCAUUCUCUUAGACAGUUUUAUCGUGAAUGCGAUGUUUAUGGCACCGUUGAUUUUAUAUUCGGUAACGCUGCAGUGGUGCUGCAGAACUGUAAUCUGUAUCCACGUCAGCCUCGCAAAGGUCAGUCCAACGAAGUUACAGCUCAAGGCCGUACCGAUCCGAACCAGAACACCGGAACGGCUAUCCAUGGGUGUACGAUUAGACCGGCGGAUGAUUUGGUUACGAGUAAUUAUACGGUCAAAACUUAUCUUGGUCGGCCUUGGAAGGAAUACUCGAGAACCGUCGUUAUGCAGACUUACAUCGAUGGUUUUCUUGAACCGACUGGUUGGAACGCGUGGACCGGCGAUUUUGCAUUGAGCACACUUUACUAUGCUGAAUACAAUAAUACCGGACCCGGUUCAAACACGACAAACCGAGUCACUUGGCCCGGUUAUCACGUCAUUAACGCUACUGAUGCUUCCAAUUUCACGGUCACAAAUUUCCUCGUUGGUGAGGGUUGGAUCGGACAAACCGGAGUGCCGUUCGUUGGUGGAUUAAUUGCAUAACUAUAUUAAUUAAUUCCUUUAAGUUAACAUCUCACUAUGUUAGUUAAUAAUAUCAUAUUCAUGUUGUUCUUUACAUAUUUUAAAUAAUUUUUUAAAAAAUUAAAAUGAUUGUGAUUUUUGGGGUCAAUCUAUUCUCUCAUAUAAUAAUAUUCACAACCGUAUAAUACAAUAUUUUCGGAGUUCAUUAAAGAGACUAGAGACUAAUUAAUCGAAUAACAAACAAAUGAGCUUCUUUUGUAGCAAAUUUUUGGUGAUGGAAAAUUUCCAUAGUCUGUCUCAGACGCUCUCGUAGCCACGUGGUCUGGCAUUGGUGCCACCGCGUUUGGUGCGGUUUUGGUAAAAAAAAAAAAUCAAUAUAAAACCCAAUCAGUGUACGUAUUCCGUAUUUUAGAUGCUCCACAGUCGUUUCAAAGAUAAAACUGGAUGAACCGGAAUUUUAGAUCCGUUAAUUUGAACCGGAUCAAAAACGUUGGGCAUCUCCACUGUGACACCGACUAGAUCGAUCGGUUCUCUCUCACACGCCUCCAUCGGAAAUCUCAACGGCGAAGAAGAAGAAGAGGAAGAGGAGGAAGAGGAACUUCCGGUUUCUAUGUCCUCGAUCGGUUUAACCGGAUCGGCUGGUUCGGGUGGAUUGGAGGGGUUAAGGGGCUGAACCGGAGCUCUGCAAAGCGGGCAAGUGGAUCUGGAACGGAACCAAGUAUCGAUGCAAUCGACGUGAAAGGCGUGGCCACAUUUCGGUAGAAUAAGGCCUUUGUCGUCUUCCUCGAACUCCGACAAGCAGACGGAGCACUCCUCUUCUUGAUGAGUCUCCUCCGACGAGUAAACGAAGAUCGGGAUCUUCUCGAGAACCGCCGGAUCGAGAGGGGAUACGGAGGAGGAGGAGAUGGUGGAGGCGGAGAGAGAGCGGAGGUGAGCACGAAUCCGGCGGCGAAUGCGACGGUUUUGACGGCGGAAUAACCAUCUGGCGUAGCUGUGGAAGCAGAGGAUCAGAAUCACGGCGACGAAGAGGAUGAUUACGGAGGAGAGCAUGAUUUUGCCGUUGAGGGCGUAGCCUGGAGGCGCGUGGCUCACACUCUCCCACAUUGGCUUGCUGCUUUCUUCUCCGAUUCCCAUAUCGUCGAGAGACUAGAGAGACUAGAGAGACUAGAGAGAGAGUGGGUUGCUUGCUUAUGUGUCUUUGGGCUUCCCCUUCCUUAUUUAUAGGCUAUUUAAAAGAAAUCAUUGGGUCCCUCUUUAUUUAAUUUUAUUCUGUUUUCGUUUUCUUUCGAGACGAUUAAAGAAAUAUGCAAACGUUAUAUUCUUUUUAAUUGCCUAAACCAAAACCAAAAUAUUCACAUGUAUUGUUUUUUUUUUUCAAAUAAAUAAAACAUUCACGUACUGUAUUGUGUUCGACUCAUAUUCUAUCAAUUAAGUUGACGAUGUAUUGUGUUCGACUCAUAUUCUAUCAAUUAAGUUGACGAUGUAUUGUGAACACUAAAUACUGUCAAAUUAUUUUUUCAAUGAUUUAUACUCUAACAUGUUUUCAUGCUCUACAUAAUCUUCUAUAAAUAUUCUCGGAUACAUUUUGUUACGGAAAAUAUAGUUUCCUCGUUUUUAACAAAAGAAAAUUUUGUAUCUCUGUUGUAAAUCACAAAUAUUUGCUACAUCAAUAACUUAUUUUAUGGUAUUAAUUGCGAUAAGUAGUUCUUUUUUCGUGUCUCUCUAAUAAUAUCCUUUUCUUUUGAUUUUGACUAAAUAAACAUGUAAUUGUUCAUUAUCUUUACAAAUUUCCUUUCGUAUGUUUGUAACUGUACACUAAUUUAACGUCUUUUUUUUCAACAAAUGUAUGCAAAAAGAACAAGGGAUCGUAUUACAAAGUAAACUUAAUUAUUUACUAAUAGUUGCAAUUGGAAGUUGAUGUGUCUUAAUUAUUGUAAGAACUUUGGAAAUAAAAGUCCUUUUGGGUCAAAACAGAAAAGUGUUUGCCACUUUCUUCAUAAUCAUAGAGUUUGUCAUAUGCGUACGUAAUUCGUAAAGAAAGUCUACAAGUUCGUGAACCCACUUGUAAACUUCUCACUUCUCAGUCUUUUGAUAUGCCUAAAGAAACUCGACAAGUUCUUGAACCCACUUGUGACUUCUCUCAGUCUUUUUAAAACUACUUGAUGAGCAUUCUGCCAGUUUCCCCCCGAUUAUUUUCUACUAUCGAUUUUGUGAGUUGAAUUACCCGUAAUAUCGAACAACGAUUAUGCAAUUGCACAAUUAUUAUAUAUAAGGAUGGCGAAACCAAUAAUAGCGCUAUACAUGCCUGAUUUAUGAAUUGAUAUGAACUGGUAAAAAAUAUUCAUAACUAAAUUAACAGGCACAGAAGAAUGUCAUCAAAGCUUGCUUGCUUAGAUGCUAAGAGUCAGAGACUGUCUCAAUAUUAGACCCUCCGUUUGCUUUAAAGGAUCUUGCACUUGUUUUCUUUGUUUUUUAAAAAUAGAUAUAUAACUUCAUCUUUUUAUAUUUUCGUCAAAUGUAGCUUUUAGUUCUUUCGUUUGAGUCAUUUUCAAAAUACGGCUUUAAGACCAUUUUACACAUCAGAACCUAAUAUGUGUUUUGUCGUGAAGAGAGUGUAGUUUGGGUUUCCGCUGGAAUUUUCUAGUCUGUUUUGCAAAUUGAUAAAGACCUUAAUGCUCUACGCCUUUUUCUGUCUUGUUUAUACUUUAAAUGUUUACAAUAUUGAAAACAAAUGACAAAUUGGCAAAAGAAUCUUUUAUUAAAAUACAAUAGGAAAUGACAUUGGAAUGGAAUAUUCUGAUUUUCCCAAAAAAUGUUUUGAAAAUAAAUCUUAACAAAAAACUAAAUAUAAUAUUGAUUCAAGAUUUUUACUAUAUUUUCUAUCAAAUUUAACAAUUAUGCGAUUAAAAUAGUAUUUCGCCCAGACACAACAUGGGUGGAAAAUUUAGUUAAAAAUAAAUAAAUAUUUGCUAUUCUCUCGUUAGUCCUACGAACCUUUUUCUUCUUCAUUUUACCCUUUUUCUCACUCUUAGUACUACUUUUCUUGCUUCUCAAUGAGUCAAUGUUAAACACCGUUAUACAAUUGAUGAUAAAUCUACGAAAUUUUAAUUUAAAAUACACGCUACACACAAGUAGCUCGAGAUGCUGGAAAUCAGGUCGUCCUCGGGAAAGUGGCUACCUAAGUGCUAAAGUGCUCUGUUUUCACGUAGUAGUAAGAGUUCAAACAAUGGAAAAGGAAGAUGUCUAAGAUAAUAAUAUAUAAAUACAGUUGGUUUUGUAUCCACUGGUGGUUUGCUCUCACGGCGGCUGCUGAAAUUGCGAAUCUAUGGGUGUUGCCAUGUAUUGUUGGAUAACUUAAUUGUUUAUUGUUUAACCAAUCAAAAUUAGAGAGAAAAGGUACAGUAAAUAUUAUUAACAGGAUAAGAUGGUCAAAACAUUCCCCAAGUGGUAUAAAGUUCCAUUUUCUUCCUCCCAUGUGAUGUGCCGUGCGGCGAAUCUAGAAAUGUGUCAAAAUAUCAUUUCCUUUUUCUUUUACCAUAUUUUUUAUUUUUAUGUUGACCGUGAUUGAUAACUCUCUAAAUGCGGAAAGAAUAGAAUGAUUUCAAAAUUUUGCUGCUUUUCAAAACUUCACAUGGUUUUUUCAGUGAAUCACACAAUUUAUGUUAGUAACCCCCUAAGUUAACCAAAAUAUUACUCAUAUUUUUUUCAAUUAUAUCAAUUCCGCUUUGUUUCAGUUAGUUUUUUUGCCCUUUAAAAAUAAAUCGAAUUUAUGUGGAGAACCAUCUUAUGUUAUUUGAAUCGAUUAGCUAAUACUUAUAGCUAAAAAGUAAAAGGGAAGAGGAGUUUAUAAGAUAAAUCAAUUCACAUUUUAACGAGAAUUCACAUGACCACUUUUCUUUUCUUUAAUUUUCUCUGGAAGAUUUAUCUGUUUAAAGCUAACAGCCUAACAUGAUAUUGUUAGCGAAGAGAGGAAUUUUUUAUUUUUAUUUUUGCAAAAGAGUUAGUCUGAAAAUCGGGUCAUUUGUGAAAAAGUAACCAUUGCGUUUACAGUAAAAAAUGAAUAUCAUUAUCAAGUUCACAAAAUUUUAAUCGUCAAAAUAAAUAAUAGCUAUAUACACAUUUUAUAUAUUGUUAUAUAUAUAUAUAUAUUCUAUUGAUUAUAUAUGCUUCCUGAAGAAAGAAUGGAACGAACUAGGCGUAGUUACAUGAUGUAACAGCGAGUCAAGCUCACAUAUCGUACCUAGUCAUGGCCAGCUCAUUCCUCUCCCUUUUUCUUUUUAACUUUCAUCUAUUUUUUUAACUUUUAAUUUUUUUCCUCACUUUUCUUCUUUUAAUUUUUUUUUAUCAAUCUUAAUUUAAGUUUUUUUCAUGUCGUUGGGAAUAAAAAGAACACUCGAACAAUAUAGAGAGAAAGAAAGACUUGUUUUGUGAAAGACGGCGAUAAUUUUUUUUUAAUUGAGCGAUACCUGAUAUUUCAGACAAGCUUAGGCAUAAAAACAAAGUCAAGGAAGAAUCACUGUUCUUCACUACACAAACUUAAGACUAGUGAAUAUAUAAAAUAAAGACUAGUGAACAUGGCGUAAGAAGAGUAAUAAUUCUUUUGGAUAGGUAUUAUUGACAAAGAGAGGUACCAAAAUGGAAAAAGACCAAACAUUUGAUCUAUCUUUUUUUUUUUUUUUUUUCUGCACAUUUGAUCUAUCUAAAACUUUAUAAUGCGCAAAAAAAAGAAACGAAAAGUUUUGAAAAGCCGCUACGAAAGUUUUUAAGAAAAAACAUGCAUAGAUGAACUCAAGUAAUACAUGAAUUGACCAUGAUGACUCUGAAAAGAAGUCACGAUGAAAGUCUUAGACCUUGACAUUUGGUUGGCUAAGCUUAGACCUUGAAGCAGCCUCUGCUCUUUCUUCCUCCUCUGGCUUUCUCAAACUUUCUACCAAUGGAACGCACAUAUGGUUUGGUAUAUCUGUGUGGCACACCAGGAGCUGGUCCAAAGUGCUUCACUGCGUUCCAUUACUUGAGCUGUACCUUGACAAGGAGCUUAAGAUAGACAUGGUCGGAUUUAGGCUCAGUACGGUUCAUCUACUUGCUCUUGCCUCCGGCAAUCAAAUCGAUGCCCUAAGAUGGAACACAGAAGCCAAAAUGAGAGCCCAAAAAUCUAGGACGAUUGGUCAGAAGUGAACCAUUAUUCUGUUGCUUUGGGGCCUUCUCUUUCUCAACCUAGAGAUCACACAUGUACUAGACGUAGAUUUUUUUUUUAAAAAAAUUAUUGGCCCAUUAGUAUAAAUAUUGGGCUACUUAGUGGGCUUUACGAACACAGCUUGGUCUGUGAGCUACUAGGCACUUGCAAAAUAAAAACCUCACCUUUUCGAUUUCGCUAAUUCGCCGGAGAUUUCGUAAAUCGGAGAAAGAUGGAGAUGCAGGAGGCUAAUCAAGGGUCGGAGGUUUCUCCGAACCAGACGAUCUACAUCAAUAACCUCAACGAAAAAGUGAAGCUCGAUGGUGAUCAAUCAAUCUCUCUCUCUCUCUUUUUUUUUUUACUUAUCGUCAUGUAUUUGCUCCGAUUUCAGUUGAUUGAGAUAUUUUCUUCUUCUUCUUCUUCUUAUUCGGAACCCGUACAGAGCUGAAGAAAUCCCUGAACGCCGUCUUCUCUCAGUUCGGAAAGAUACUGGAGGUGUUGGCGUUUAAGACAUUGAAGCACAAAGGGCAAGCUUGGGUUGUGUUCGAGAGCGCGGAAUCUGCUUCGACUGCUAUUGCGAAAAUGAAUGGAUUUCCCUUCUACGAUAAACCCAUGGUACGAUAUCUUUUGCAGUGAAAUUUCCACUUGCUCGAAUUACACUUUGUUGCUGCGCUGAAUUCGUCAUAAUUCAUGGAUUUCGCUAUUACCCAGGAUGCUUGAUUAUGUUAGGGUUUUACUUUACUUAGUGGAGGUUUGAUUUCACCGAACGGAACUUUGGAUUCCAGGAAACUUUGCUUGUGAUUUUCUACUUUAAAUUCAGCUUGAGAGGCGAGACCGAUUGUUGUGGUUGCUUUUAGGUUAAUGAAGAGAUUGGAUUGGAUCUAUCUCUUUUAGUAUUUGUGUUGAUGAAAUACUUACCGAUGACUUUGUCUCAACUUGAACAAUCUGGACAGAGAAUACAAUUUGCGAAAACAAAAUCAGAUGUUGUUGCCAAGGCCGAUGGUACAUUUGUUCCUCGCGAGAAAAGAAAGAGACACGAGGAGAAAGGUGAGGCUCUCAAUUUUUCAUUUUAUUUUUUGCAUUACUGCUUCCUUGUCUCACUUGGCCGGAGCAUUGUUGCAAAUAUAAAUGUAGAACUUUUUUGUUUCUUUCAUCAUUCAUUUCUCGCAUGACAUUCUGCAUUAAUCAUUAGUAGUCACAUCUCAUGCACUUACUAUGUGAAGCCAUGUAUACAUCCUUUGUGAGUUUGGGAUAUCUUUGCUUCUCCAACCCUAUAAACAGUAUGUUGUUCGACUCUAAAAAAAAAUAAAAAACCGUCUUUUGGAAUUGCAGGAGGCAAGAAAAAGAAAGAACAGCAUCAUGAUUCUACACAGAUGGGCAAUGCCAUGAACUCAGCAUAUCCAGGUGUCUAUGGAGCUGCACCUCCUGUGAGUCAUCUCAACCUUUUAUUCCCUCUCUUAUCUUCUUGAUUCCGCUCAUUCUUUUUCUCACAUUCAUGCUUGUCUGGGAGUUCCGAUCCUUUUGUUCCUUCAAUGCAUUCUUAGUCGUUGUUCUUUAUUGCCACGCUUUACACAGCUUUCGCAAGUACCAUACCCUGGUGGUGUGAAACCCAUUCUUCCGGAGGCACCGGCACCGCCGAAUAACAUCCUCUUUGUCCAAAACCUUCCUCACGACACAACUCCAAUGACGGUUCAGAUGCUGUUCUACCAGUACCAAGGUUUCAAGGAGGUUAGGAUGGUUGAAGCCAAACCGGGUAUUGCCUUUGUGGAGUUUGCAGAUGAGAUGCAAUCAACGGUUGCAAUGCAGGGACUUCAAGGUUUCAAGAUUCUGCAGAAUCCAAUGCUCAUCACCUAUGCCAAGAAAUAGAAGACCGUUUGGUUUGAUCGGUCUUUGUAUCUCUCAAUGUCACUUCUUCCAUGGUUUAUUUUGCGCAAUUUUCUUCCUUCUCUUUUGUUGUAGAAUUUUCGUAGCUUGGAAAAUGUCUUCCGUCGAUUUCUUAUCCCAGGCAUCCUUAUAUUACUAAAGCACAAGUCACCUGGCCAAUUAAAUUCUGCCACAUAGUUUGUGCUUAUAUAUUUUUAAAAUUAAAAAAAAAAACGAUGCAAAAAAAAUAACGGUUUCUCGACUCACGAUCCUUUUUCAUCAUCCACGAUCUUUCUUGAUCUUUCUUUCCCAUAUUUCUAUAUUAAAGAUACUCUCAAUCGAUCCGAAACAUAACUCUGUGCAGUGAUUUAGUGUGGAAGAUUAGUGAUUACUUAAGUUUCUCGGAGACAUCUAAGGAUUUUGAUUUCAUCUCAAAUUUCUACCUUCACGCUGACGCAGAUAUAGGACAAGUGAUUUGCAGUGUGUUACUGGAGAUCUGAUCCUUAAGAAGACAUUUCAAUUCAUGUAAGAGAGAAUGCAAAUGCAGAUCGCAAUAGAAUUGCAAGAAGGGAAUUCUGUUAAAAGGUAAAAACGCUUCCAUUAAUUCACUUCCGAAAGGAUCAAAUUGUUUAAGUGUUUUGCUAUUGUAGAAUAGAAUUUACAGCAGCGAUGGAUUGAAAACAGCAGAGAGGUUUCUACCUUUUCUCUAUAAUUUCAAUGUUUUAAGUUUUUGGUAAGAAAAUUGAUUUAUGUAUGGUUGUAUUGUAGGGGCGAGAGGAACAUGAAGUGUUGAAGAUGACAAAACCGGUGCUGUUGUGGGAAAGAUGACUAAAUUUUAAGACAAAAUUAACACAGAUACUAUAUCAAUUGUUUCAGUUUUUCCCGUAAAUUGGUCCAUAGUCUUUGCGAUACACCACUUAUUUUUUUAUUUCAGAUGUUUGAAAUAUAAAUACACAGUGAAAAGGAAUCAUAGCUCUACUGCUUCUUCUCGAUUACCAGAAAAAAAUAGGUACUCAAACAAUCAAAUUCGUCAAUGAAAUUAUUCCCAAAGGUAACUAAUAUAAAAUAGCUCUAUAUAAUAAGCAUUCUCAUCUUGGUUUUAUAAUUUACCAGAUUUUUUAAGGAAUCGAGUGAGGAAGAAAGAUGGCACGCAGAGAAGUUUAUGGGGUACUAGGUUUUCUAUUUUUCCUUCUUUGAUUACCAUUUCUUAAUAUGUAACUAAAGUUUGUUUUUUUUAGUUAACAAAAAUAUUCCCGUGCUAAUACUAGUUACUCCUAAGUCCUAAGACAAGAGUUCACUUUCUUAAAUGGGCUAUACUGACCCAUCUUUAGUUCAGCCCAUUCGUAUUUUAGACGAAAGAAGUACACUUGCUCUCGAGGAAAAAGAAGCAGCAAUUGUAAAUCUUGAAAGAAAUUUUAAUAUUAAAUAAAAAAACCCCUAUAAAAACUAUUCUCACAAACUGAACUUUGAUUUAGAAAAGGCUUAUGGAUAUUUUUGUUUUUGAGUUAUUAUGAAUUCUUGUAGUAUCUUCUAUUAAGAUUAAAAAAAAAAACCAGUAAUCAUUAUGUGAUGUUGGAUUGGUCAAAGAAAAGUCUUUGUUGUGUAGCUGUUUUUCUUGGUUGCAGCUGACGUCAGCGAUUAUUAGGUCAACACUCGUGCGUCAAGAGAGUGGGAGUGAGCUCUCGCCUCUCUCAUCAAAAGGAAGCCCUUUGAGAUUUUCGGACACUCGAUAUGAUGCAUUAAAGUUAUCAAACACCAAAGCAUUAAUUAGACGAUGGUCCAAUAUUAAAGGAUCAGUAGUGAGCAUUAAAUAGGAAACACGAGUGUGAUACGAACACGUAAGCAUUAAUGUGUUUAUAGAUUUGGUGAUGACUUCAUUGUCUGACUCUGUCUCCUCUUUUUGCAAGACAAAAGAUUUGUAGCUUAAAAAAAAAAGAUUUGUAGCUGGUUCAUCUCUGGGUGACACCACCUAAUUAGUAUAUAUAUAUAUAUAUAUAUAAAGUUACAUCCUAAAGUGAGAUGCUCAUCAAAAUCCUUUUAUUUUUUAUUAGUCUGCCGAAUCUUAUUUUAGCAUUGAAACAUGUAGAUGUUAACACCGAAAUUAUUCAACUAAUUCGAUUCAUGCUAUUUUUAUGAGCAUCUCGCUUUAGCCAUCGUAACCUAUUGCACAUUUAGAUGUCAAAACUGUAAACAUUCAAGGAUCAAGUAAACUCUCCAAUUAAUAUGACAUUUAAAGUAGUAACUAGUAAGACUACAAGCUAGGGUUCAUAUUUACCUAUCCGGAGUCUUUAUAAAUAUGCGAGGAGGAUUAUACACUAUACAUAGACCAUAUAAUAGAAACAACUAAUAUGAGAUGGGGGGAAUGAUUAUCAACACAGGGACCUUACGAACUCAUCAUAUUUUGAAUGUUUUUUUUCUUUGUUAGAGAAAGUUAGGCCAACACGCAAAGCCCUACGUGCACUCUUUCAUUAUUCCUCUCUUCUUUUGCCCCCAACAGUUUUUGACGACCCACCUUCCCCUUUUUGACCCUCCUCUCUCUCACACUCAUGCAUGUAUGUUAAUUUAUUCAGAGGAUUCUUUUAAAAUUUGGCAUUUAUUAUCAUGACACAUAGAUAAACUGUUUCAUUUUUUGCAAUGUACACUUUACGGAGAGAAAGCUAGUAGAAUCGAGUGAACACCCAGAAUUUCAAUUUUAAUUUUAGCAUCCCGAUACUUGCUUCGUUUUCGAAAAUGUUUGAAUAUCUUUCUCUCUUAAAAAGAAAAAACAAGAUUAGAGAAGAUUUAACGGAUGGAAUUAAGUGGAUAUUAUGUUUGUUUUUCCUACCACGGAGUAGAUGCUAAGAUUAGUGGAGAUGUAGGUCUAAGAUAUUGCUUGUCAAAGCGUGACCGAUUGCAUAGGAUCCUGCAAUAACACAAAAUAUGGUACACCUAAGGUAGUUUAUAAAAUUUAGGACAGACAAGCCCCACGUUUUCAAAGAGAAAGAAAAAAAAACGAUUUGUGGAAAUAUAUAAAAGAUUUUAAACCCAGCAAUUAUUAGACAAGGCAUUGUUUGGACCUAGUUUCUCUUAGCCCUCUUCACUCUCUCACUUUUCUUCUUCAACCCUUCUUUUGCGUGAGAUGCCAUCAUGGCAUGGCAUGGUUCUUUUGCCUUACGUAAAACACACUCACGCCAACAUACAUAUAUACAUAUAUACAUAUAUAUGUAUAUGUGUUUCAUAAAUGCAAUCUUUGGGGCCUAUAUAUACAGAGCUUCCAUAACCAGAGCUCUCUCAUAUUACAAAAGCUCACAUAUAUGGUUAAUGGAAUUGCGGGUGAGAAGCUCCACGUUGGAGAAGCAGGGCACGUGCAAAGCAAUAAAUCAAACACGAAAUCUGUCUCAUGUGGUUUGCACGUGCUCCCCUCCUCCAACAUGAGCUCCUCACCUUUGGUAUUGAUGUAAACCAUGCAUCUUUGAUAAAUACAGGAACUCAAGCGUUAUUUGGUUGUUCUUCUACUCUUAUUUUCAUAUAUUCUUGUUACUAGCUUAUGGAUUUGAUGGUUAGAUAAUUCUCGUAUAUGUAUGCAGUGUUUAGAAUUAGGCGAUUACGUGUGUUUGCUUUGGUUAAAUUCGACCUUUUAUUUGGUGAGAAAAAAAUGACAAAAAAACGGACAGUUUGACGAUGGAAGUCGACGACUUAGAAACUAUACCUUCGGAGCGCCUCAGAGGGUUCUGACUGGACUUCAGAGUCAGAGGGUAUUUUAUGUUUGUUAAUCUGGAAUUACGGUGUUUAACUACAACUUUAAUUACCUACAUUAUCGUUUUGAUUUUUUGUUUCUCUCUUUUCUGUGUCCCAAACGGGCAGUUUGCUCAUUCAAUUGGUUUAAAAUUUUAUUGUUUCAAAACAAAACAACAUUUCAGCGUGAAUGUUCACACGUUUAAUCCUUUAUUAAUGUAAUGUAUUCAUAGUCAAUAAUAGUAGAAUUAUAUUUAUAGAUAUAUUAAAAAGUCAACUAGUUUUGAAACCCAAAAAAAAAAAAUCAUUUCUUGUUAAUCAGCAGUAAAGCCAACAUUUCAAUUAAUUAAAAAAAUGCUAUAACCUUAGAAUGGAAUUAUCAUAAAAAUAUCUUUUAAAAAAAAAAAAAAAAAAAAGAAAUUUGUGUGGGAAGAGAGGUAGAGAUAGCUAAUCGUCGUCCUCAUUCAUCUCACUCUACAGUCUUCUCUAUUCUCUUCCCUGAAAACAAAAACAAAAACAAAAAUGGAUUCGAAUCUCGUAGAAGAAAACCCAAACCCAGAAACCAAAUCCACAGAAGAACCUCUCGCCAUUAUCCCUUCUUCUCUACCAAUCGCCUCUCUAUCUCUCUCCUUCUUUCCCAACUCCACCACCCACUUUCUCCGAUUCUCUCACCUUUUUUCUCAUCACCCAAACAAGGUUAAGAUCCCUACUCAAGCCUCUUAUCUCACCCAUCUCUCUCUAUCUUCCGUCUCUCCUUCGCCUUCCACCAGAAUCUCCUUCAAAUCCACCGUCUCCGCUAACCCUCUUCAAUCCCCUCUCUCCAUCGUCCCGCGUCGCCCCGUCGAUCCUUCCUCCGCCGCCGCUCUCCGCCGCUCUGCCGUCGUCUGGUUCCGAAACGACCUCCGUGUCCACGACAACGAGUGUCUCAACUCCGCCAAUGACGAGUGCGUCUCCGUCCUGCCCGUUUACUGCUUCGACCCUAGAGACUAUGGCAAAUCCUCUUCCGGCUUCGACAAAACGGGGCCCUUUCGUGCCCAAUUCCUGAUCGAUUCCGUUACGGAGCUCCGGAAGAAUCUCGAGGCGAGAGGGUCCAACCUCGUUGUCCGGGUCGGGAAACCCGAAUCUGUUCUGGUGGAAUUGGCCAAAGAAAUCGGCGCCGACGCCAUUUAUGCUCACAGGGAAGUGUCUCACGACGAGGUCAAGGCAGAAGGGAAGAUAGAGACGGCCAUGAAAGAGGAAGGCGUUGAAGUCAAGUACUUUUGGGGAAGCACUCUCUAUCAUUUGGACGAUUUACCAUUCAAAAUCGAAGAUUUGCCGUCGAACUACGGAGCAUUCAAGGACAAAGUCCAGAAGUUGGAGAUCAGGAAGACAAUCGCAGCAUUGGAUCAAUUGAAAAGCUUGCCCUCUCGAGGUGACGUGCAACUUGGCGACAUUCCUUCUCUGUUGGAUCUCGGCAUUAGCCCCAGUGCUAGAACCAGCCAGGUUUGAGUUUCACUAUUUGCUUCAGUGGAGUAUUUAGCUUGGUUUGGUUAGUCCUUUUGACUUUCCAGGUUUAAGCAUUUAGAAAGGUGGAACCUUUGUUAGAAUUAUCUCCCUCUAAAGGUUUACAAUGUGCCAAUUGGUUCCAGUUCUAUACGACAAAUAAAGUAUAGAGAUUCAUAUGUGAAAAUGCUUGUAAUAUUACUGCAAUUCCCAUCCAGAUUUAAGGCUGUUUAAAAGUCCACCAUUGAUUUGACCCGAUUAAAAAGAGAAACACUCUUCAUAAUAUCAUCAAUCAAUGAACGUUUCUCUUUCAAUCCAAGAUCAAGUUGAUGUCUUUUUUGCACUCUGCGUCUGCUGCUCUUACACUUACUCUUAAAAUUUUAUGCGGUCUAGGAGGGGAAACCGACAAUGGCUGGAGGCGAGACAGAGGCGUUGAAUAGGCUAAAGAGCUUUGCAGCGGAUUGUCAAGCUCGAUUGAACAAGAAAAAUCAGAAAGGAGACAACAACAGUGUGUUUGGUGCAAACUUCUCGUGCAAGAUAUCACCCUGGCUAGCCAUGGGGAGCAUCUCUCCUCGUUCCAUGUUCGAUGAGCUGAAGAGAUCAGUUUCUGCAUCAACCACCCCCAAAACCCCAAGGUAAUGUCUCAGAACGCAACACUUUAGGGAACUCUGUUAAACCGAUUUGGACAUACUAAGGGUAUGUGUCUAGUCACCAUUCUCGGAAAUGAUUUUCUCAGGAACGGACCCGGAGAUACUGGACUGAACUGGUUAAUGUAUGAGUUGCUAUGGAGGGAUUUCUUCAGGUGAGAUCUUGCUUUCUUGACUUGUCCCCUAGGAGAAUUUGUUUUUUUUUUGUCUGAAUCUGUCUUUGAUGUGUGUUUAUACAGGUUUAUAACCAAAAAGUACAGCUCGGCGAAGACGCAGGUCGAGGCGGGUCCUGCUACAGCCUGUACCGGCGCAUUUGCUUAAAUUUAGAAAACUUCAGGUGACCGGAGAAAUUAGAAUGCAUCUGAUUUUGCCCUACUUUUUUUUUUGCUACUCGGACAUGACUUAAUCGCUCUCUUUUAAAAGUGAAGGGUAUGGUUAAAUAAGCUUUAUUGUGCUCAAUCAAGUUGUCAUUUUCUAGUCCCAAACAUUGCCAGUCCUCAAUUCCAAUCUAAGUCUCCGCUCCUUUGAGUUUAUCUCCAAGUUUGGAGGAUUAAGAAUGUAUCACUGACACAAUCUCAAAAUAAUUAUACGAAAUAGUAUUAGAUUAACAGCCUUCUUAGUCAUAACUAAUAUUUUUAAAACCAUGAGAAGCUGUGAAAUGAAUGGAUCCCUGAACUAUACAUACUCUGUCAACUCUGUUCUACCUUCUAUUUAGCCAAUGAUCCAAUCCAAAAUCAUCUUUAAUAUGCUUUUUAUAUUUGUAACACAUAUUUAGCCCACUGCCUCUGAUAUUUAUAAGAAAAACCCUUAAGUAAAACAGGAGGACAUGUCUUGUAGUAAGAUUUUUCUUCUUUCUCGUUUGCUUUUGUUGCUUCCUUCUAUAUGAUGCCUGAAACUUUCAAAGAAGAAAGAACAACGAAGACGACCCAAAGCAUCAUGAAGUAAGCAGAGGUAAGCCAAGCCCAUAGCCUUGGACCUCCAAGCUCAGCUCCUAUAAUCAACCGUCUCAACACAAGCACCACGAUACAUCCCACUGAAGUCGCAAAGAAUAUCAGCAGAGAAAAGCUUAAUCCUUUCGCGUUUUCUAUGUAUAAAGGCUCUCUGUAUGCAAAGUAGUUGUAUACUGUGUUUAUCAGCCACGGAACUCCAAUCCCCACGUAGAUGUUCACCGAGUUACUGCAGGAAUUAUAUCCAAAAAUAUCACGAAAAGAUCUUUGAUUGUUUUAAAAAGGGUUUUGAGAUUUUCACCUGCAGGUGAUGUUUGCAAUGGCUGAAUCCGCGGUUAGUUGUCGCUCUGCAGCGAUUUUGCUGGCUACUAAAUCUGGCCAUGAAGUUCCACUUGCGAGUGCUGUGAAUGCUAUCACAUAUGGGUUUAUUCCUGCAAAACGAAAAAGAGUUUCAAAUGUUCAACGGCUAAAAAACUUGAAUCUUUUGAUGGAAUUCUUGAAAGCUUUGUGUGGGGUACCAGUGACACAGCUUAUAAGGUCGGUAAGUCUUGUGACGACAAAUGCUACUCCGCUGAUGAAGAGAAGAGAGCAGAUGAAUGCGAUCCAACCGUGAGCGAUGUUGCAAGGAGGCACAACCGCAAAAAGGAUUUUCCAAGGGGCAAGGAGUAAUUGCCAAAAGGCUUUCACGAGUCGAAGAUAAAUGUUGUCAACUUUCUUUGAUUCUGAUGUUUCCAACUAUUUAAUUAAGAAUCAGAUUAGAAACUAGUUAAGAAAGAUGUGCUGAUCAAAAGCCCAAAAUGGAGUAUAUAAACACAUUGUAAGUCGAAGAUUUUACCGUUAUUGCGUCCACGAACUGAUGUUUCCAAAUGUCGAAAACAUUAGAAUUCUUUGCCUUACCCCUCUCAGUGGAAGAUCCUGGUGGAGUAUCUGCCACUGUAUGAUAGGUGAUCCCUGCAAAAGCGUUCGUUACACGGAAAUUUUGAUCUAUAACAGUAACAGAGAUAUAUAUACGUAAAUGUUUGGAAAUUGCGCUCAAAUUGAUCUUAUAUCAACAGAAAGACAACCUACACAUACUUAGUACCUGUAUCAUUAUUAGCAGAAUGAAUAGAGAAAAUAUCAACAAUGUUCCUGUUUCCCGAUUCACCAGCUUCUUGAGCGGCUUCCGAAUACACGUCAUGAACAUCAUUGUCAUCUUUGGAUGGAUCAAUCUCUUCUGGAACCCACUCCUCUGGCCUAUCACCUCUUGACCUUACAAAUAUCAAAAACAAACACAAAGAUUCAAUCUUUUUAGUAGGAAUUCAAUUUGCAGAAAACUAAUAGUAUUGCCUGGAGAAGAAACCAACAUAGGUAAGGACACGUAAGGCCAUCGCUUGUCUUGCGCAUACGCAUGAACUAAAAGUAAUCCGUAUUGCACUACUGUCAAUAAUGCCUCCACAAGUGUAAUUACAUUAGGUGACCACACCUGUGAGACAUAAGAAAAUGGAAAAAACAUGUUAGACCCCAUAUGAGUGAGUAUAUAAAUAAAUUCAACAGAAUCCUUGUUUUCACAGUUACCUCAAGGAUUAUGUAGAGCCAAAUGUAAGCCCAAAAAGACCAAGCCAGCUCAACAAGCCAAACACCCAAGUCGGAUAUCUUUUUCAAUUCUCCAGCUUUUGGCAUCACAACACAAACAGCGUGGAUGGGGAAGAGAUCAAAUGCAGCUGAGCCAACAAGUGUUCCUGGACCAAGACCUAUACAACACAACAUCAUAUGAGAACUCACAGUGUGAACUGAAGAGAUUUAAGAGUUAAAACUGUCAAGCUAACCGAAGAAAAUAACCAGACCUCCAGCAUAACGCUCCCCUAUGUUCCGUAUAGCAUCAAUGGUAGCUAAGGAGAUCUGAGGAAAGCUAGUUCCAAAAGCCAACAAGCUGAUGUCUGCAAUAGUAAAGUUCCAAACUUUCCGGUAUGUGAUAACUUGAGCUUUAGUAAUGGGGUCAACAGAAACCACUUUACGGGAAUGCUUGACGACAUUCUCCAUAGACUUGAAGAAGCGUGCAGUUAUCGCUGACAACCCGAGAAAGCAGUAGGCAAGACCGAGGAAAUAGAAAACAGCCCUCAAGCCAUCUGAAUAGCUACUUUCUCCGGGGUAUAUAAAGUAGCUUUCACAUCUUACAUGCCCAAGAACCCUAGAAGAUUCUUGCAAUUCCUGGGUUUGGUUAAGAAUCGAGGCCAUUCAGCUGAUUUUCUCACCGGGAAGCUGGAUCUGGCACUCGAAAGAAGCUUGGAACGAUUAGAAUUUAUAAGAAUCUUUCGAUCGAAUAGUAGCAGGAAAAUCGCGAAACAAACGGAACAUGCAAUAUACGAUAGAUUUAUUUCCAGAGAAUCCGUAACACUUGCGAAGGAUCCAAUGGCAUGUCCACCAGACUCAAGAAGCAACAAAAGAACGCAAACUUCAUCAUUGGCUCGGUAAAAGAAAGUUAAACAAGUUGAGACAAUAAACCCGAAUUCUCGAAGAUGGUCCCGAACAAAUCUCAACGAGAAUCACGAAUUGAGAACAGAACACGAAGGGAAAUCUGAGAAAACAAGAGUGACCCAGUUGAUGAAUGGGAACGUACCGGAGGAUAUCUCAGUGAACGGCAUUCACAAUCCGCCCAACACUGGAGAAAUUUCCCGAGAUACACAAGGCGAGAGGAGAGGCGCUAAUUGGAACGUGUCAGGAGUUGGUUUUUGGAGUGGAGACUCGUGAGCCAUUUAUUGCAAACACACAUCUAAUCUCUGCAUGACUCCUCAAUUGUAUCUUGCACGGAUUUUCUGUCCAUCGUAUCAAAUACCCAAACGUGAUGCAAAUUGUAUCUUAUAUCUACACUUAUUUAUAACAAAUAAUGACGAAACAUUUCCCAUCUAUAUACGGAGUUAGCAGCACUAAUUUGGACGAUGAGAUAUAUGUUAAUGUAGUAAGAGGUUACUUUAUCUUUCCAGACAAACAAUAUGGAAUUAGUAAAGAUGACAAACAUAUCUAAAAAAUUUGGCCAGCGUUUUUAACUCAGCCAACAGAGUUCUUAAGCCUGAUAGCCCGGUUUAUUUCCUUUUUUUUUUCAUUGUACUCGUAUGUUAAAUGUAAAACCAGAUUAUCAAGCUGGCUUAUAGUGCUAUAUCAUACUUUUCUGAUUUCAGUUUGUAAAUUUGGUUCCUUUGAUUUGGUUAACCAAAGUAUUUUAUUCAUAUAGUUUUCACAUGUUGGGAAAAAACUAGUUUACAAGAAAAGUAAGUACUCCAAAACCACCAAUCCCAUAAAUAAAUAAAUAAAAAGAAUACACUCGGUAAAGGAAACUAUUAUGGUCGUCACUCCGUAACAAAGUGAAAGAGAAAUGCCGUAGGGGUGGGUAUAUUUGUAAUUAAGCUGGCAAUUUUUAUGUUGAUUUUUAAAAAUCAAGAAAUAUACAGAAACUAAAGAAGCCCUAUCAAUUGUGUUGUAUUUAAGGCAAAACCCUAAGGGAUACACUUUUGACUCAGCCGUCCGUUUUGCAGAAACCAAUUUGGAGUUGCACAGCUGAGGAGGACGACGAUGGUAGAUCUCCCUUCUCUCUUUUGGUUUCUGUUUUCUUUUGGUUUUGAUCUCUUAGGUGUUUGUUUUCAUUGUAGAUUCAACGAAUUAGUUUUUUUUUUUCGUUUAUCUGGCAUGGGUCAGUGUUUCCGUUCUCCUGGAUGCAGAGAUGAAUUCAUAUCUGAUUAGGGUUUGUUAGAGUUAGUAAUAGAGAGCUAGUUAGUGAACCCAGAAAUUUGCGCAGAGAGCAAUAGCUUUCUCAUUCCAUUUUCACUUGGGUAUUCUUCAUUUGUUCUGAUUACACCAUGGUUUUGUUUUAGGCCCCAAAGAAAGGAGUGAAGGUAGCUGCCAAGAAGAAGACGGUACGAUUUUAAUUUGCUGUUUUUAUUUCCAAGGAAGGUUUUCGAACAUUUAGAUAUUUUGCUUAAGUUUGUGCUAUGUUUUUGAUUUCCAGGAAAAAGUUACGAACCCUCUAUUCGAGAGGAGGCCUAAGCAAUUCGGUAUUGGUGGAGCUUUGCCUCCCAAGAAGGAUCUUACUCGGUACAUCAAAUGGCCAAAGGCAAUCCGUCUUCAAAGACAAAAGAGGAUCCUUAAGCAGAGGUUGAAGGUUCCUCCAGCUCUUAACCAAUUCACCAAGACUCUUGACAAGAAUCUCGGUGAGUCAAUGAUGGGUUUUGGAGUUGCUUCUUUUUUUUUUAAUAAUGUUACUUGAAAUUUUUGCCUCAUUGCACUCACCACAUCCCAUAUUGUUAAUUGCAGCAACUAGCCUCUUCAAGAUCCUUCUAAAGUACAGGCCAGAAGACAAAGCUGCCAAGAAAGAGCGUCUUGUAAAGAAGGCUCAAGCUGAAGCCGAGGGAAAGCCUUCUGAAUCCAAGAAGCCUAUUGUUGUGAAGUAUGGCCUUAACCAUGUGACCUACCUCAUCGAGCAGAACAAGGCACAGCUUGUUGUCAUUGCUCAUGAUGUCGACCCAAUCGAGCUCGUCGUCUGGUUGCCUGCUCUCUGCAGGAAGAUGGAAGUCCCUUACUGCAUUGUCAAAGGGAAAUCUCGUCUUGGAGCGGUAUGUGUUAUAGGUCCAUCUCGGGAUCUAAUUUUCACUCACAUGUGUCUAGUUAAAACGGUGGGUUUACAGUUGUCUCUUGCUCUUACUUUCAGGUCGUUCACCAAAAGACUGCCGCUUGCUUGUGUUUGACCACUGUCAAGAACGAGGACAAGCUAGAGUUCAGCAAAAUCCUUGAGGCCAUCAAGGUAAAAAAGCUUCUGUGACAGUUGGAAUGAUGAAUUCUUUUACUUGAGAGAUUCUUAUGAUCUUUAACUUGGUUAUGGUUUCUUCGGUGUACAGGCCAACUUCAACGACAAGUACGACGAGUACAGAAAGAAAUGGGGAGGAGGCAUAAUGGGAUCCAAAUCUCAAGCCAAGACAAAGGCCAAGGAAAGGGUUCUUGCAAAGGAGGCUGCCCAGAGGAUGACUUAAGAAGGAUCUCUUUGUGUGUUUUGCUCAAAAGCCAUAUGCUCGGAUUCGUAAAACUUCAUAGAGAGCUUUUUUGUUUAGCUGUUUCUUUUUAGUUGAACCCCCUCGUUUAUGGAUAUUUGCACUUUCUUCAGACGGUUUCUAUGUUGUUUAAGCUUUUUAUCCCCUUGCUCUCUCAACUUCUUAAACUUAACAUUUGAUAAUGAAACUUCUGUAUCAUCGAGGCUAAAUUUUGCUUUUUUGGUCGUCAUCUGACUAUAUAAUAAUAUUAUAAUACGAAUAGUUAUUCUGGGUCUAUAUUCUACAUUAUGGGAAAAAAAUGUUAUCUGGGUAAUUUUGGUAAAAUGACAAUAAAUAAAUGGGCUUGUCAGAAAAAGAAAAUCAUAAAUAAUGGUCUUGGGCUUUGACAAAGAAAAGCUAAACAGUUUGGGCCUGGAUUGUUAAUUAAAUUUCUUCAAAUUUUACCGGGGUUUCUGCAAGUUUCGAGUUAUUUCGGAAUUUGACCAUUAGUUUAUUUUAUCGUCCUGCGAUUUGCAAUAGAUAGAUAGAGAGAUAAUUCAUUAGAAGUAAGGAGGGACAUGGAAGUCACUGAUCCAAGCUGGAAAGAAGCAGAAGUUGAGCUCUAUACCAUCCCUGCCCAGUCCAGUACGUCUUCUUUCUUUCUCUCCAACUCUAGGGUUUUAUCAUUGCCUUGGCGAGCUUUCAUUGCGCGGAAUCGAUGAUUUAGAUCUUUUGCUAUUCUAGGGUUUAUACUGACUGUUUCCGUAAUAGGAAUUAGCGUUCUUCUAGGGUUUUUUUUCUGUAGAAUUGAUUUGGGGUUGUUGUUUAUUCUAGGUUGGUUCUUAUGGCAUGAUAUACACGAAAUUGAAAGACGCGAGUUUGAGGAGUUCUUCAGUGAGAGCUCAAUCACUAGAACCCCCAAAGUGUAUAAAGAAUAUAGAGAUUUCAUCAUCAAUAAGUACAGAGAGGACACUUCUAGGAGGCUAACCUUCACCAGUAUCCGCAAGUAUCUCGUGGGCGAUGUCAACUUGCUUCAGAAAGUGUUUCUCUUCCUCGAAAAUUGGGGAUUGAUCAAUUUCGGCUCGAAAAGUGAUCAUGUGUUGUUGGUGGAGAAUCAAGGGAAGCAUAAAGCUAAGAUCGAGCAAGGGAGCCCCCCUGGGAUUAGAGUUACUGCAACUCCAAAUUCGAUGAGGCCUAUUACCGCACCGCCCCCUGUUGAGGAACGAGCUGAGCCUGGUGUCAAAUUACCACCUCUGACCUCUUAUUCUGACGUUUUCAGUGAUUUGAAGAAGCCUAGUGAUGGAUUGAUUUGUGGGCAUUGUGGAGAACGCUGUGAUUCUGCUUUCUACCAACAUAACAAGGUCAGUUCUGUUCUUUAUCUUUUUCUUUAACAUGUUUCAUCUUCUCUUGUCUUUUUUCCUAACAUAUGAUGUUGGCAGAGUAUUGUCAACUUGUGCGAAAAGUGUUUCAAGAAUGGAGACUACGGGGAGAACAAUUCCGCAGAUGAUUUCAGGUUGAAUUCUGGGAAUUCUGCUGCAGCUGUGUGGACCGAGGAAGAGAUCCUCCUCUUGCUAGAAUCUGUGCUGAAACAUGGAGAUGAUUGGGAACUCAUUGCACAAAGUGUUUCUUCAAAGAGUAGACUAGAUUGCAUUUCGAAGCUCAUUGAGCUCCCAUUUGGAGAGUUUCUGAUGGGCUCUGCCUCUGGAAGACUCGA